rnacentral:rRNA from 1 species
UACGGAGGGUGCAAGCGUUAUCCGGAUUCACUGGGUUUAAAGGGUGCGUAGGCGGGUAUAUAAGUCAGUGGUGAAAGCUCCGGGCUUAACUUGGAAACUGCCAUUGAUACUGUAUAUCUUGAAUGUCGUUGAGGUUAGCGGAAUGUUGCAUGUAGCGGUGAAAUGCUUAGAUAUGACAUAGAACACCUAUUGCGAAGGCAGCUUACUACGCAUAUAUUGACGCUGAGGCACGAAAGCGUGGGGAUCAAACAGG